rnacentral:rRNA from 1 species
AUUGAACGCUGGCGGCAGGCUUAACACAUGCAAGUCGAGCGGGGAAAGGUAGCUUGCUACCUGACCUAGCGGCGGACGGGUGAGUAAUGCUUAGGAAUCUGCCUAUUAGUGGGGGACAACAUCUCGAAAGGGAUGCUAAUACCGCAUACGUCCUACGGGAGAAAGCAGGGGACCUUCGGGCCUUGCGCUAAUAGAUGAGCCUAAGUCGGAUUAGCUAGUUGGUGGGGUAAAGGCCUACCAAGGCGACGAUCUGUAGCGGGUCUGAGAGGAUGGUCCGCCACACUGGGACUGAGACACGGCCCAGACUCCUACGGGAGGCAGCAGUGGGGAAUAUUGGACAAUGGGGGGAACCCUGAUCCAGCCAUGCCGCGUGUGUGAAGAAGGCCUUUUGGUUGUAAAGCACUUUAAGCGAGGAGGAGGCUACCGAGAUUAAUACUCUUGGAUAGUGGACGUUACUCGCAGAAUAAGCACCGGCUAACUCUGUGCCAGCAGCCGCCGUAAUAC